GAUUAACUGCAGAGACACUCAGCUCCCAACCAGGAAACCCAGAGUAACGAAUCCCAGCCAAUCAGCACUCAGCACCCACAAUCACAUUCACAAUCACAAUCACAAUCUUAUCCAUGUGCUGAUGUGCUUUUAGGAUUUUCAGGUUUAACUCCUGAACUGGUGAACAGGUGAGCAGAUAAACAUAAAGAAAGGUGAAUUGGUGAACAGGUAAACUGGUGAACAGGUAAAUUGGUGAACAGGUGAACAGAUAAAUAGGUAAAUUGGUGAACAGGUGAACAGAUAAAUAGGUAAAUUGGUGAACAGGUGUGCAGGUUAAUUGGUGAACAGGUGUGCAGGUAAAUUGGUGAACAGGUGUGCAGGUUAAUUGGUGAACAGGUGUGCAGGUAAAUUGGUGAACAGGUGUGCAGGUUAAUUGGUGAACAGGUAAAUUAGUGAACAGGUGUGCAGUACCUAUUUUAGCAGGUUUGGGG